rnacentral:rRNA from 1 species
UUCUUAAAAUUUAAAUUUUUUGGCGGUAUUUUAUCUAUUCAAAGGAACCUGUUUUUAAAAUGAUAAUCCACGAUUAAAUUUACUUUUUUUAAAAAUUUUCAUAUCGUUGUAAUUAUAUAUUUUUAUAGAAUAAAAUAUAUAAAAAUUUUUAUUAAAAAAUUAUUCAAAUCAAGGUGUAGUUUAUAGAAAAGUUAAAAUGGGUUACAAUAUAUUUAUUUGAAGAUAUUAAAAGGUAGAUUUUAAUUGAAUAUGGAUUUGAAUGUAAUUUAAUUAAAUUAAUUUAUUUGAUUAAGCUCUAAAAUAUGUACAUAUUGCCCGUCGCUUUCAUAUUUUUGGAAUAAGUCGUAACAUAGUAGAUUUACUGGAAAGUGAAUCUAGAUUACAAAUUAUAGCUUAAAAAAGUUUUUUAUUUACAUUAAAGAGUUAAUUGUUAAUUCAAUUUAAUUUGAAAGUUAUAAAUUAUUAUUUUUAUAUUUAUUAUUAUUAUUUAAAUAAAAAUAUUUAAUUUUAUUAUUUUUUAAGAAAAAAUUAUUUUUAUUAUAGUGAAUUAGUAUUGUGAAAGAAUUUAUUUUUUAAUAGAAAGAAAAAUUUAUUUUUUGUACCUUGUGUAUCAGGGUUUAUCAAAAAUUUAAUUUAAAUUAAUUUUUCUCGAAUUUGAAAGAGCUAAUAAAUUAUAAUUUUUAUUAUAUAAUUAUUAUUUUAAAUUAUUUAUUAGUAAUAAAAUGUUAUUCGUUUUCUUAAAUAUCUAGUUUUUUAAGAAAUAAAUUUAAUUUAUUUAUUAAUUAAUAUAAUUUUAUUUAAAUAAUAUUAUAUUAGUAAUAAAAAAAAUUUUUAGGGAUUAGCUUGAAGAUUUAUUUUUAUUAGAAUUUAAAUAUUAAUAAAAAAUUAGGAUUAAAAAUUUUCAUAUUUUAAAAUAUGUUAUAAUUUAUUAUUUAUAUUUAAUAUUUAUAUAUUUCUAUAAUUUUUUUAUUAAAAUUUAAAUUAAAAUUUUAUAAAUUUAGUAAUUAUGAUAAAAUUAGUAUAUUUAAGUUUAUAAUAAUAUUUUAAUAUUUAAGAUUUUUUAAAGGAAUUCGGCAAAUAUUUUUUUCACCUGUUUAAUAAAAACAUGGUUUUUUGUUUUAUAUUUAAGAUUUUACCUGCCCACUGAAAAUUUAAUUGAAUGGCCGCAGUAUUUUAACUGUGCUAAGGUAGCAUAAUCAUUAGUUUUUUAAUUGAAAACUGGAAUGAAAGGUGGGAUGAAAAAAAUUCUGUCUCUAUAAAAUUUAAUAAAAUUUUAUUUUUUAGUUAAAAAGCUAAAAUAAUUUUAAUAGACGAGAAGACCCUAUAGAAUUUUAUAUUAUUAAUAAUUUAUAUUUUUAGUAUUUUA